rnacentral:snRNA from 1 species
AGGUGUGAGGGUGAUCUGGCUGCAACAUCUGUCAUGCCAUUGAUUGCCAGGGCUGGCUAGGCUGCGUCCCCUUUUCUCACUUCUCUAUGCAGUGUUCCUCCUGAAGCUGUGCGAUUGGUCAAAGAGGAUGACUUUCUCUGAAAGAGGAGGACCAUUCAUAGUCAUGGGUAUAAGAGUAGCUAUGCUCCCUUGUUAGAACUGCCAAACAAACUCUCAAAAAAACAGCCAAGGGCUGACAGAGUGGCUCAAGUGGUAGAGUGCUGCAU